UUCUUCUUUCUUUAGUGCGGACAACCAGUACUUUCAAACCGUGUUGCUUGCUGAUUCUGUUUCUAGGGAUUAGGAGGCGUCAAGUACUUGGAGAGAUUGAGAUUGCAUUUGGGAUCAUCUAAGUGCCCUUUCGGCUAGUUUUGGUUUUUUCAAAUUACUAGUCGGGGCUGGUGGGUCCUACAGUU
rnacentral:snoRNA from 1 species